CUACACGGGUUUCUAAUCCUGUUUGCUCCCCACGCUUUCGUGCAUGAGCGUCAGUCUUGACCCAGGGGGCUGCCUUCGCCAUCGGUGUUCCUCCACAUCUCUACGCAUUUCACUGCUACACGUGGAAUUCUACCCCCCUCUGCCAGACUCCAGCCUUGCAGUCUCCGACGCAAUUCCCAGGUUGAGCCCGGGGAUUUCACGUCAGACUUACAAAACCGCCUGCGCACGCUUUAUGCCCAGUAAUUCCGAUUAGCGCUUACACCCUACGUAUUACCGCGGCUGCUGGCAC
rnacentral:rRNA from 1 species